UACCAGCACCCCGAGUGGUCGGGACAUUUAUUGGGCCUAAAGCAUCCGUAGCCGGUUCUACAAGUCUUCCGUUAAAUCCAACUGCUUAACAGGUGGGCUGCGGAAGAUACUAUAGAGCUAGGAGGCGGGAGAGGCAAGCGGUACUCGAUGGGUAGGGGUAAAAUCCGUUGAUCCAUUGAAGACCACCAGUGGCGAAGGCGGCUUGCCAGAACGCGCUCGACGGUGAGGGAUGAAAGCUGGGGGAGCAAACCGG
rnacentral:rRNA from 1 species